rnacentral:rRNA from 1 species
CAGUAGCCACGGUAAUACGAGGGGAGCUAGCGUUAUUCGGAAUUACUGGGCGUAAAGCGCACGUAGGCGGCUUUGUAAGUUAGAGGUGAAAGCCCAGAGCUCAACUCUGGAAUUGCCUUUAGACUGCAUCGCUUGAAUUCAGGAGAGGUGAGUGGAAUUCCGAGUGUAGAGGUGAAAUUCGUAGAUAUUCGGAAGAACACCAGUGGCGAAGGCGGCUCACUGGACUGGUAUUGACGCUGAGGUGCGAAAGCGUGGGGAGCAAACAGGAUUAGAUACCCCAGUAGUCCCUGUCUCUUAUACA